UGGGUAACCUGCCCUUCACUCUGGGAUAACUCCGGGGAAACCGGGGCUAAUACUGGAUAUGACUCGAACAGGCAUCUGUUUCGGGUGGAAAGAUUUAUUGGUGGAGGAUGGACUCGCGGCCUAUCAGCUUGUUGGUGAGGUAAUGGCUCACCAAGGCAACGAUGCGUAGCCGACCUGAGAGGGUNAUCGGCCACAUUGGAACUGAGACACGGUCCAGACCUCCGUACGGGAGGNA
rnacentral:rRNA from 1 species